CCUACGGGCGGCUGCAGUGAGGAAUAUUGGUCAAUGGGCGAGAGCCUGAACCAGCCAAGUCGCGUGAAGGAUGACGGCCCUACGGGUUGUAAACUUCUUUUGUCAGGGAGCAAUUGAGUCCACGUGUGGGCUUAGCGAGAGUACCUGAAGAAAAAGCAUCGGCUAACUCCGUGCCAGCAGCCGCGGUAAUACGGAGGGGGCAAGCGUUAUCCGGAUUCACUGGGUGUAAAGGGAGCGUAGACGGCCAUGCAAGCCAGGGGUGAAAGCCCGGGGCCCAACCCCGGGACUGCCCUUGGAACUGCAUGGCUGGAGUGCGGGAGGGGCAGGCGGAAUUCCUGGUGUAGCGGUGAAAUGCGUAGAUAUCAGGAGGAACACCGGCGGCGAAGGCGGCCUGCUGGACCGCGACUGACGUUGAGGCUCGAAAGCGUGGGGAGCGAACAGGAUUAGAUACCCUAGUAGUC
rnacentral:rRNA from 1 species